rnacentral:rRNA from 1 species
AAGAAUGGGAUUUAAACCUCUUCCAGAGUAUCAAUUGGAGGGCAAGUCUGGUGCCAGCAGCCGCGGUAAUUCCAGCUCCAAUAGCGUAUAUUAAAAUUGUUGCAGUUAAAAAGCUCGUAGUUGAAUUUCUGCUGCAUUGCUUUUGCUCCUUUACGAGUCUUUGCAUUGUGGCUUAUUUCGGACUUUGUUUUACAAUGUCCGGAUGUUUACUUUGAGAAAAUUAGAGUGCUCAAAGCAGGCUUUCGCCUUGAAUAGUUUAGCAUGGAAUAAUAAAGUAGGACUUUGGUUCUAUUUUGUUGGUUUUAGGUACCAAAGUAAUGGUUAAUAGGAACAGUUGGGGGCAUUCGUAUUUAACUGUCAGAGGUGAAAUUCUUAGAUUUGUUAAAGACGAACUACUGCGAAAGCAUUUGCCAAGGAUGUUUUCAUUAAUCAAGAACGAAAGUUAGGGGAUC